rfam:Phialocephala subalpina strain TAMH 11012 genome assembly, contig: PAC_scaffold_008
GACACUUUGGCAGAGUGGUUAUUGCGACAGUCUACUAAGCUGUUUCCUUUGGGAGCAUGAGUUCGAUUCUCAUAGGUGUCG